AUUUUUAUCUGUAAAUAAAAACUCAUUAGUAGUUGAAAAACCCAUUUACAAUUGUUCUCUUGGGUAACCUUCGUAUACUCCUCAAAACCCCAAAACCCAUCAAAACCUAAGAUUAAGUCACGCAUACCAGAUCUCAAACCAUCUCGCGCAUACCAAAUCUCGUACUAUCAUUGGUGCCCUAAUUUCUAUGAAAUUGAUACCGUUAGACGAUUGAAUCUGUUUGGAUUGGAGCUAGAAAUCGAUUGAAUCCGUUUCAAUUGGAUUCGUGCGAGCGAAUCUGUUUCAAUUGGAGUCUGCGAGUGAAUCUGUUUCGAUUGCAUGUGUUUCGAUUGAAAACCUAGAUUCGAUCUUCGAAGAAAUCUGAUAAGAAGCUGAAAUGAAUCUGAUUUUGAUUUUCAUCGAUUGGAUCAACAAUUACUGAAAAUUUGGAGAAUAAUUGAAGAUUAAGUUCUAUUGGAAGAAAUCGCUUACAAAGAUUAUGUCCAUCUCGUUAUUCUGGUUGUAGCUCUGCUAAACGCGGUAGAGAUCUCGGUUUGUUCUAGUUUUUAACUUUCUAGGGUUUUGUUUUUGUUAUCUGUUAGAGAUUUGAUGCUUUCUUUUAUGAUAUUUGAUGAUUUAUAGAUGUUUAGAGUUAUAUGAUGUAGGUGUUUUAUUAGCAGAUUGUUUUAGUUCCGGCUCCCAGUUCCGGCGACGCCAGUUCCAGCUCCCGGACAUCGCUUUCAUGUCCCCUGCUCCUUGUUCCACUAAGAGACUAUAUGGUUUUGCCAUAUGUUUGGUUGCUGGUUUGACUUGUAAACUUAUGGUACAACCUUAAGAAGCUAACUUACGAAGAGAGGUAACAAAAGCUUAUCGAGAGGUCGAAUGCUUUGAAUGAUGCUGCUGGAGAAAAUGAUGAUGACGAUUCAGACGAAGAUUGAUGAUUUUUGGCUUUAGUUAAAUGUUUGUUAGUUUGUGGUUUAACCAUGUUAGAAGUAUGUUGAAUUCAAAACAGAAUUUGUAAUUGUUUUUGGUGAUUUUUCUUGUAAGCUUUUAGCAAAAAAAAAAAAGUUGGAAUUUCUGGAUUU